rnacentral:rRNA from 1 species
GGUUAAGCGACUAAGCGUACACGGUGGAUGCCCUGGCAGUCAGAGGCGAUGAAGGACGUGCUAAUCUGCGAUAAGCGUCGGUAAGGUGAUAUGAACCGUUAUAACCGGCGAUUUCCGAAUGGGGAAACCCAGUGUGUUUCGACACACUAUCAUUAACUGAAUCCAUAGGUUAAUGAGGCGAACCGGGGGAACUGAAACAUCUAAGUACCCCGAGGAAAAGAAAUCAACCGAGAUUCCCCCAGUAGCGGCGAGCGAACGGGGAGCAGCCCAGAGCCUGAAUCAGUGUGUGUGUUAGUGGAAGCGUCUGGAAAGGCGCGCGAUACAGGGUGACAGCCCCGUACACAAAAAUGCACAUAUUGUGAGCUCGAUGAGUAGGGCGGGACACGUGGUAUCCUGUCUGAAUAUGGGGGGACCAUCCUCCAAGGCUAAAUACUCCUGACUGACCGAUAGUGAACCAGUACCGUGAGGGAAAGGCGAAAAGAACCCCGGCGAGGGGAGUGAAAAAGAACCUGAAACCGUGUACGUACAAGCAGUGGGAGCACGCUUAGGCGUGUGACUGCGUACCUUUUGUAUAAUGGGUCAGCGACUUAUAUUCUGUAGCAAGGUUAACCGAAUAGGGGAGCCGAAGGGAAACCGAGUCUUAACUGGGCGUUAAGUUGCAGGGUAUAGACCCGAAACCCGGUGAUCUAGCCAUGGGCAGGUUGAAGGUUGGGUAACACUAACUGGAGGACCGAACCGACUAAUGUUGAAAAAUUAGCGGAUGACUUGUGGCUGGGGGUGAAAGGCCAAUCAAACCGGGAGAUAGCUGGUUCUCCCCGAAAGCUAUUUAGGUAGCGCCUCGUGAAUUCAUCUCCGGGGGUAGAGCACUGUUUCGGCAAGGGGGUCAUCCCGACUUACCAACCCGAUGCAAACUGCGAAUACCGGAGAAUGUUAUCACGGGAGACACACGGCGGGUGCUAACGUCCGUCGUGAAGAGGGAAACAACCCAGACCGCCAGCUAAGGUCCCAAAGUCAUGGUUAAGUGGGAAACGAUGUGGGAAGGCCCAGACAGCCAGGAUGUUGGCUUAGAAGCAGCCAUCAUUUAAAGAAAGCGUAAUAGCUCACUGGUCGAGUCGGCCUGCGCGGAAGAUGUAACGGGGCUAAACCAUGCACCGAAGCUGCGGCAGCGACGCUGAUGCGUUGUUGGGUAGGGGAGCGUUCUGUAAGCCUGCGAAGGUGUGCUGUGAGGCAUGCUGGAGGUAUCAGAAGUGCGAAUGCUGACAUAAGUAACGAUAAAGCGGGUGAAAAGCCCGCUCGCCGGAAGACCAAGGGUUCCUGUCCAACGUUAAUCGGGGCAGGGUGAGUCGACCCCUAAGGCGAGGCCGAAAGGCGUAGUCGAUGGGAAACAGGUUAAUAUUCCUGUACUUGGUGUUACUGCGAAGGGGGGACGGAGAAGGCUAUGUUGGCCGGGCGACGGUUGUCCCGGUUUAAGCGUGUAGGCUGGUUUUCCAGGCAAAUCCGGAAAAUCAAGGCUGAGGCGUGAUGACGAGGCACUACGGUGCUGAAGCAACAAAUGCCCUGCUUCCAGGAAAAGCCUCUAAGCAUCAGGUAACAUCAAAUCGUACCCCAAACCGACACAGGUGGUCAGGUAGAGAAUACCAAGGCGCUUGAGAGAACUCGGGUGAAGGAACUAGGCAAAAUGGUGCCGUAACUUCGGGAGAAGGCACGCUGAUAUGUAGGUGAAGUCCCUCGCGGAUGGAGCUGAAAUCAGUCGAAGAUACCAGCUGGCUGCAACUGUUUAUUAAAAACACAGCACUGUGCAAACACGAAAGUGGACGUAUACGGUGUGACGCCUGCCCGGUGCCGGAAGGUUAAUUGAUGGGGUCAGCGCAAGCGAAGCUCUUGAUCGAAGCCCCGGUAAACGGCGGCCGUAACUAUAACGGUCCUAAGGUAGCGAAAUUCCUUGUCGGGUAAGUUCCGACCUGCACGAAUGGCGUAAUGAUGGCCAGGCUGUCUCCACCCGAGACUCAGUGAAAUUGAACUCGCUGUGAAGAUGCAGUGUACCCGCGGCAAGACGGAAAGACCCCGUGAACCUUUACUAUAGCUUGACACUGAACAUUGAGCCUUGAUGUGUAGGAUAGGUGGGAGGCUUUGAAGUGUGGACGCCAGUCUGCAUGGAGCCGACCUUGAAAUACCACCCUUUAAUGUUUGAUGUUCUAACGUUGACCCGUAAUCCGGGUUGCGGACAGUGUCUGGUGGGUAGUUUGACUGGGGCGGUCUCCUCCUAAAGAGUAACGGAGGAGCACGAAGGUUGGCUAAUCCUGGUCGGACAUCAGGAGGUUAGUGCAAUGGCAUAAGCCAGCUUGACUGCGAGCGUGACGGCGCGAGCAGGUGCGAAAGCAGGUCAUAGUGAUCCGGUGGUUCUGAAUGGAAGGGCCAUCGCUCAACGGAUAAAAGGUACUCCGGGGAUAACAGGCUGAUACCGCCCAAGAGUUCAUAUCGACGGCGGUGUUUGGCACCUCGAUGUCGGCUCAUCACAUCCUGGGGCUGAAGUAGGUCCCAAGGGUAUGGCUGUUCGCCAUUUAAAGUGGUACGCGAGCUGGGUUUAGAACGUCGUGAGACAGUUCGGUCCCUAUCUGCCGUGGGCGCUGGAGAACUGAGGGGGGCUGCUCCUAGUACGAGAGGACCGGAGUGGACGCAUCACUGGUGUUCGGGUUGUCAUGCCAAUGGCACUGCCCGGUAGCUAAAUGCGGAAGAGAUAAGUGCUGAAAGCAUCUAAGCACGAAACUUGCCCCGAGAUGAGUUCUCCCUGACCCUUUAAGGGUCCUGAAGGAACGUUGAAGACGACGACGUUGAUAGGCCGGGUGUGUAAGCGCAGCGAUGCGUUGAGCUAACCGGUACUAAUGAACCGUGAGGCUUAACCUU